rnacentral:lncRNA from 1 species
GGAUCUUCCCCACACCUUAACCUCACCAAAUCCAACGGCUGAUUUAAUUAACGGGGGUUUCAAGAGCCCCAAAAAUGGGAAUAUUAUUGGCCCUGCUUUAGCAGUAUAGCUUACCCCAAAUUCUGGGAGUAAUAUUCCUUUGGCAUCUAAUUUGAAUUCACAAAUCCUUUACGAACAGUAACAGCAUUAGUAAUGGUACCUAACGUCUCCAUCCCCUCUAUACCCCACCCCUUCCUUAGAGUGUAUAUAUAUAACACUAAAAUCAUAUGAUUUGAUACCAAGAAAAUCAGAGAAAAAAAAAAAAACUUUCAAUUGGGCUCUUGAUCAUAAUCAGAUAUGACAGAAAUUAUGGUGAUUUUCGACUUCGACAAGACUAUUAUCGAUAUAGAUAGCGAUAAUUGGGUGGUUGAUGAACUGGGUGCUACUGACUUGUUUAAUCAACUUCUUCCAACCAUGCCUUGGAAUUCUAUGAUGGUAAGUUUUCAACUUUUGAUUUACACAUUAUUUCCGACUUUAACUUAGCAACGAGGGAUAUAGUAUUAUGACUUGAGAUUCCAUCUUAGAAGUUCAACUGGUUUAUGUUUUUAUUGGGAUUUUAUUCUUUAAAAAAAGUUAUUACAGGUUUUUAAGGUAGAAGUUGUCAACAUAAUUUAUACAAUGUACAAAUGUAAACAUGUUCAUAUGUUUUGAAUUUUUUUCCUAAUUGAGUUUCUAAUCAAUGGGUUUUUGAAUUUGUUUGUCAUUACAGGACAGGAUGAUGAAAGAGCUUCAUGCAGAAGGGAAAACCAUUGAAGACAUUGAAGAUGUACUAAAAAGGGUCCCAAUACAUCCCAGAGUAGUCCCAGCCAUCAAAACAGCUCAUUCUUUAGGGUAAAUUUUGCAGAGUUUGGGGAUAAAAAAUUCUUACAUUAUGCGGUUUUCGAUACGUUUUUAUUGAUAGAAUUCGAUGGAAAAUUUCUAUUCUAGGUGUGAUUUGAGGGUAGUCAGUGAUGCAAAUCUCUUCUUUAUUGAAACAAUCUUGAAUCAUCUUGGAAUAAGGGAAUGUUUUACUGAAAUCAACACAAAUCCAAGCUACGUAGAUGAAGAAGGAAGGCUAAGAAUUUUCCCAUUUCAUGAUUUUCAUUCAUCUUCUCAUGGCUGCAAUCUCUGCCCUCCAAACAUGUGCAAGGUAUAUAUACUAAUUUCAUCCCAUGUUUUUCUUGUUAUAUAUUAUGGGAUUAUAGUCACUAGUCGAUCCCAAAAGAAAUGGAUCUUUCACCACGAGUUCAAAUAGAGAUAAGAGACAGGAACCAAAAAAAAAAAAAAAAACUGAAAAAAUAAUUGCAAUAACUUUAUUACUAAUCCCAGUUCAAGAACAAUUCCAUGAAGAAUUUAUUCAUUCUAGAAUAUGCUGGAAUGUGGCCUAAUUAAACUCAACAAUUAUCCUUGUUAAUUGAUUAAUAUUAGCUUAAAAAACAAUUUUGGAAAGAUGGUGACACAUUAAGAACAAAUCAAUAUAUUUUAUUUAAUCAUAUAUAUUUUUUAAUUUUUUUGGUUUUGUUUUAAGCAGGGAAAGAUUAUAGAGAGGAUUCAAGCCUCUUUAGCUAUAGAAGGGCAGAAAAGAAUAAUCUAUCUUGGCGAUGGAAGGGGUGACUUUUGUCCGAUGUCGAAGCUUAAGGAAGUAGAUUACGUAAUGCCGAGGAAGAAUUUCCCGGUUUGGGAACUGAUAUCGAAAAAUCCUGAACUUGUAAAAGCAGAAAUCCACGAAUGGACUGAUGGGGUUGAGCUCGAACGUAUUCUGCUAAAUCUUAUCAAGAAAAUUAAGGUUCAAGACUCGAUUCAACAGUUAUCGGUUGAUUGCAAGUUCGAGACUAUUCCUAUGGCUGUUCAUGAGCCAUUGAUGCCUGCCCUUCCAGUUAACCAGUAGCUUGAUAGUUUAAAUUUUCUAAAUUUCUGCUACUGUCACUGGCAAAAUGUUGUAGAUUCUUAUAGUCGACAUAAAACAUUUUUUGGUCUAAUUUUUGUUGGAAAAUGGUUUCAAGUGAGCAUCUUUGAGGUCAAUUUAGAGUGGGGUCCGUAAUUCAAAAUUAAUUAGAUCAAACAUAUUCAUGUUUUAUUUUGCGAAAGGAUUAAUGUGAUAGAAUUAUUUGUCGAAACAAUAAGUUCUGACUGAAAUAUUUUGAUUCAAAGUGACAUAAUUGAACUUGGUAUGGAAGAAUUUGAUUGAAUUGUUUAGCAAUUGGGCGGGGUAGUGUCGGUAUGACUCAUUGUCUGAAAUAUAUCUUUUUGAAGAAAAUUUCUUUAGAUUUUCUAGGCCAAAUUGUAAUUAUAAAAUUCUUUGGGUACAUCAACAAAAUUAUUCUUAAUGGUAUUAUAUUUCAAACCGUUUGAAUUUUUAUUUUUUUUGAGCUUUUUGGGCUAUGAUCAACCAUCUGUUUGUGGUUAACGUAUGUGAUAAAUGUCUAUUACUAAUCGUGAUUGACGUCUGUGACUGACUUAACGAAUGCCUCAAUUCAUUUGGAAGAGUACCUGAACUGUUGUUGUUCAUGACUUUUAGGUUGUUUGAAUGGCUAUAAACACUUUACGAAUAGAAUUUUUCUAUGCCAAAAUUAUAAUACCAAUUCCGAAUUGUAUAUACCAAUACACAUUGAAACAAUCAUGAGACAUACUAAUAAGUGUAUUUUUACACACUUAUUUAAUAUCUAAAUGUGUUAUUUAUUGAUUAAAUUAGUGAAAUUUUACUCACAAUUAUGUAAUAUUUGCUUUUGUAGGCCAAAAAUCAUACAAGGAAAGAGAAUAUAGCAAAAGGAGGAAAAAGGACUAAAAGUGUGCAAAUUUGUGAAGUUGGGACCAAAAUGCAAAAGGACCAAAAGUUCAAGGACUUGGAGUUGUAAUUUUUGGAGGGCAAAAUUGAAAUAAAAGUCAAAAUUCGAGGACAAAUUUGUACAAGUUCAAACAUUGAGGGAUCUAGUUUGCAAAUAUGAGGACUGAGCUGCAAAUAAGAUAAAAUAGGAGGUGGCACUGUAGUGGAGCCGCAGCGCCACGGCUUUGUCCACUAUGGCGCUGUAGCGCCACUUCAAGGCGUCGCGACUGCAUACCAAGAUCUGUCUGGCUAGAUUUUUUAAUUGGGGAUCAUUUUGCAAUUAACCAAACACGAUUUUUGGGACUUUUAAAAGACAAAUUCAACCAUUUUCUCAUCAUUCUUCAUCUUGGAAAGAAAACCCUAACCUCUCUUCUUAUUAGUUUUCUUUCUUCUGUCUUUUUCUCCUUUUUCUUUUCUUUUCCUUCGUACUUUUGAAAGCAAAUUAUAGAGUACGAAGAGAAAAUAUUUAAAUAUUUGGAAAAAUCAAAGUCGAUCUUCAAAUUGGGUUGUAUCUAUAAUUUUGUAUUUUCUUAAAUAUUU